rnacentral:miRNA from 8 species
GUGCCUGCUGUGCUGAUAAUCAGU